CAUGGUGAAUUCCUUUUUUGAUAUGUUGUUGAAUUCUACUGGGUAGAAUUUUGUUCAGAAUUUUUCCAUCUAAGUUCCUGAGGGAUAUAAAAAACCAAACCAAACCCACUGCCUUCGAGUUGAAUGCCACUCAUAGCAACCUUAUAGGACGGAGUAGAGUUUCCAAGGAAUGCCUGGUAGAUUCAAACUGCCGGGCUCUUGGUUCGCAGCUGUAGAGCUUAACAACUACUCCACCACUGUUUAUGGAUCUGUAAUUUUCUUUUUUUGAGGUGUCUUUACCUGGUGUCGGUAUCAGGGAUAUGGUGGGUUCAUAGAAUGAGUUUGGGAGUAUUCCGUCCUUCUCUAUGCUCUGAUAUACCUUUAGUAGUAGUGGUGUUAACUCUUCUCUGGAAGUUUGGUAGAACUCUGCAGUGAAGUUGUCCAGGCCAGGGCUUUUUUUUCUUGGGAGUUUUUAAAUCACUUUUUCAAUUUCCUCUUUGUUAGGGGUUUAUUUAGUUGUUCUACCUCUGUUUUUGUUAGUUUAAGUAGGUAGCGUGUUUCUAGGAAUUCAUCCAUUUCUUCUACGUUUUCAAAUUUGUUAGAGUGCAGUUUCUCAUAGUAAUCUGAUAGGAUUCCUUUAAUUUCAGUUGGGUGUGUUGUAAUAUCGCCCAUUUCAUUUCUUAUUCAGGUUAUUUGCUUCCUCUCCUGUUUUUCUUUUGUCAGUUUGGCCAACAGUUUAUCAAUUUUGUUGACUUUUUCAAAAAACCAGCUUUUGCGCUUGUUAAUUCUUUCGAUUGUUUUUCGGUUUUCUAUUUCAUUUAAUUCUGCUCUAAUUUUUAUUAAUUGUUUCCUUCUUGUGCCUGAGGGUGUCUUUAGUUGUUCUCUUUCUAUUUGUUCAAGUUGUAGGGAUACUUCUUUGAUUGUGGCCUUUUCUUCUUUUUGGAUGUGUGCAUUUAUUGAUAUAAAUUGACCUCUGAGCACCACUUUCGCUGUGUCCCAAAGGUUCUGAACGGAAGUGCUUUCAUUCUCAUUGGAUUCUAUGAAUUUCUUUAUUCCUUCCUUAAUGUCUUCUAUAAGCUGUUUGUUUUUGAUCAGGGUAUUGUUCAGUGUCCAAGUGUUUCAUUGCUUUUCCCUGCUUUUUCUAUUAUUGAUUUCUACUUUUACGACCUUAUGGUCCGAGAAGAUGCUUUGUAAUAUUUUAAUGUUUUGCAUUCUGCUAACGCUUGCUUUAUGAUCUAAUAUGUGAUCUAGUCUAGAGAAUGUUCCAUGUGCACUAGAAAAGAAACUAUACUUGGCUGCUGUUGGGUGGAGUGUUCUGUGUAUGUCUGUGAGGUCAAGUUGGUUGAUUGUGGCAGUUAAAUCUUCAUUGUCUUUAUUGAUCUUCUUUCUGGAUGUUCUGUCCUUCACUGAAAGUUGUGUGCUGAAGUCUCCUACUAUAAUUGUGGGGCUGUCUAUAUCAUUUUCAAAGCUGUUAAAGUUUGUUUUAUGUAUCUUGCAGUCCUGUCAUGGGUGCAAAAAUAUUUAUAUGGUUAUAUCCUCCUGGUAUAUUGUCUCUUUAAUUAUUAUAUUGUGUCUUUCCUUAUCCUUUGUGGUGGGUUUACCUGCAAAGUCUAUUUUGUCUUAAAUUAAUGUUACCCCUCCUGCUCUUUUUUCAUUGUUGUUUGCUUCAUAUAUUUUUUUUCGAUCCUUUGAAUUUUAGUUUUUGUCUCUAAGCCUAAGGUGUGUCUCUUUUAGGUAGUGUAUAGGUGGAUCGUGUUUUUUAAUCCAUUCUGCCGAACUCUGUCUCUUUGUUGGUGCAAUUAAUUCAUUUACAUUCAGUGUAAUUAUGGAUAGGUAUGAGUUUAGUGCUGUCAUUUUGAUGUCUUUUUGUGUGUGUUGUUAACAGUUUCUUUUUCCCACUUAAUUUUUUGUCCUGAGUACUUUGUCCUUAUAUAUUGCCUUUUCCUCUUGCUCUUUGUUCUUGAUUUUGUUUCUGCUAAGUCUUUUUUUUCUUGUAUUUUAUUUUCAUGAGUAGGAGUGUUAGUCUCUUUUGUGGUUACCUUAAUAUUUGCCCCUAUUUUUCUAAGUUUAAACCUAACUUUUAUUUCUUUAUAUUACCCUGUAUUUCUCUCCCUAUGUAAAAUCUAUGACUUCAUUUCUUAGUCCCUCUUUACUUUUUUAACAUUGUGUUCUUUUACAUGAUGACAUCGCUUUUUCCUUGCUUUGAGCAUUUCUUUAUCUUGAUUUAUUUUUGUGAUUUCCCUGUUUGGGUUGACUUCUGGUCGCUCUGUUCUCUGUUGUAGUCUCGGAUUAAUAUCUGAUAUUAUUGAUUUUGUAACCAGAAAACUCCCUUUAGUAUUUCUUGUAGUUUUGGUUUGGUUUUUACGAAUUCACUAAAUUUCUUUUUAUCUGGAAAUAUCCUAAAUUCAACUUCAUAUUUUAGAGACAGUUUUGCUGGAUAUAUGAUUCUUGGUUGGCAUUUUUUUUCCUUCAAUGCUUUAUAUAAUUCAUCCCAUUGCCUUCUUUCGUGCAUGGCUUCUGCCAGGUAGUCUGAGCUCAUUCUUUUUGACUCUCCUUUGUAGGUGACUUUUCAUUUACCCCUAGCCACUCUUAAAAUUCCCUCUUUAUAUUUGGUUUUGGAAAGUGUGAUUAUAAUAUGUCUUGGUGACUUUCUUUUAAAAUCUACCUUAUGUGGCGAUAGAUGAGCAUAUUGGAUAGAUAUUUUCUCAUCUUUCAGGAUAUCAGGGACAUUUUCUGCAAACAAAUCUUCAACAAUUCUCUCUCUAUUUUCUGUUAUCCCUCCCUGUUCUGGUACGCCUAUCAAUCAUAGGUUAUUUCUGUUUAUAAAGUCCCACAUAAUUUUUGGGAUUUCUUAAUUUUUAAAAAAUUCCUUUACCUGUUUUUUCUUCAAAUAUAUUGCUGCCAAGUUUUUUUAACCUUCAAUUGCAGCAAUAUUGGCUUCCACUUCCACAAUUCUGCUCCUCUGACUUUCUAUUGAUUUCUUUAAUUCUCUAAUUUUAUUGUUAAUCUUCUGCAUUUCUGAUUGCUCUCUCUCUAUGGAUGCUUUCAGCUUAUUAAAUUUUUCAUUAUGUUUUGGAAUAAACUUUUUAAUUUCUUUAAGUGCUUUAUCUGUGUUUUCCUUAGCUUCUUCUGCAUAUUGCCUGAUCUCCUUUCUGAUGUCUUAAAGAGCUCUGUAUCUUAAUCUUUUGUAUUCUGUAUUCGGCAAUUCCAGGAACACACCUUCAUCCAGCAGAUCCCUUAAUUCUUUGUUUUGAGAGCUUUUUGGAGUGACCAUGGUCUGCUUCUUAUGUGAUUUGACAUUGACUGUUGUCUCUGAGGCAUCUAUAAGUUAUUAUAUAAUUUUAUUUUAUGCCCUUACUGUAUCCUAGCGUCUUGCUUUCUUUUGUUUUGAUAUACCCGAAUAGGUUGCUUGAGUAAGCUGGCUUGAUUAUUUUCACUUUUGAAUCUCUAACGUGCUGUUACCAGAUGGCUAUUGCUGUUACCAGGUAUGUGAGCCUAGGAGUCCAUUCACUGUUCUUGUAUGGAUUCAGCUCAGGUGUCCAGGUAGUUGGUCAUCAAGUGUGUGGUACAGGCUCUGUCCUACAGUCUUAGAGGGGCAGGGGUGAUUGGUGUAGGUACAGGUAUCUGGGUGCAGCACUGUGUCACACUCUGAAUAAUGCAGAGAGCUGACAACUGUCCCCCAAGUGUCUGUGAGGAAACACAUCCCUGUUCCCUAAAGCACAGAGGUGGGUGGGUUCUGCAGAUGGACCAUGGGCACCCAAUGUUUUUGUUUGUAAGGUCUGGAAGGUGCCAGUUAUCUUUGCACCCCUGUCAUGGAUGGCGGUGUGAUGUGAGUGCAUCCACCAGUCCUUAGGCCCCUGAUGUGGGUAGGUGAGGACCCUGUUUAAUAGGCAAAGUGGUGCCAAACAUCAAACACCCAGCUCUGUACCACACACCUGAAACAGUUGCAAUCUGCCAACAAGGGCCUAUUCUCCUGAAAUAACCCCACACAGGUCCAUGCAGGGGAGAAAGGUAUUCAAAGCCCAAUGGCCGUUUAUACCUGGAUAGGAACUGCUUCUGUCCUUAGCUCCCCUGAUUGGUGGAUCUGGUAGGUUUUCUUUUCCACAAUUGUGAAUUUAUUCCUUCUCCAAGGCUGGGAGAAUGGCUUGGAGUGCUCAGCAGUGCCUACCUCAGGCCCAGAGAAAUUGACAGCCACUGAAGCUGGCUCGAGGGCAGAGGGUGUGGUAAAAUAUAUGGAAGUACUUAGCUUCUCAUAAGAAUGUUUUCUUGUCUGGUUCCAGUGGUGUGAGUAGGCUGUGAGGCUGACUGUUUCUCCCUAAGGAAGCUGCAGCUGAAUGCUACCAUGAGGUGGCCGAAGUCACUCCCAGGAAUGGUACUCAAGGGUUCCUGGCCAUUCAGGUCAGGCAACUCCUCACUGAUUCGGAACCAUUUCUCCCUUCCCAUGCCACUUAGUGCAUUUUCUAACUUUGUGUUUGAUGUUCAGUGCUCCAAGCUUGUCAUAAAUAUAAUCGUUUCACUUGUUUUUUCAGGUCUUUGUUGUAAGGGGCAUUACCAGAAGCGUCUGACUACUCUGUCAUCUUGGCCCCCUCCUACCAAUCUUUUCAUAAUUUUUUUAAAUUGUACUUUCAAUGUAAGUUUUUUACAGAGCAUUAAACAAUUAAUAUGCAUAUUGUUUUGUGACAUUGGUUGACAACCCCAUGACAUGUCAACACUCUCCCCUUUUCAACCUUGUGUUCCUCAUUACCAGCUUCCUUGUCCCUUUCUGCAUUCUCAUCUUUCUCCCUGGGCUGGUGUGCCCAUUUGGUUUUGUUUUGUUUUUUAGGGCCUAUCUAAUGUCUGGCUGAAGGGUGAACCUCAACCUGAGCUAUAAGUGUGUUGGGGGGCCAUAUGCUCUGGGUUUCUCCUCACCAUCAAUAUUAUCAGGGAAAUCUUUAACAACUGGGAAGGUGUUAAGUUCGUGUUAGGAGAUACAAGUUUUCAGAAAAUUCCAGUUUUCAUCUGGAAGCUCUAGUUUUAUUAUUGACAGUAACCAAUAUCAAUUGUUUUCCUUGAAAUGAAGGCUUAUCUCUUUUAUUUUCAAGAAAAUAUUUGCCCAACACCCAAGCCUGGUUUUCCGUCAGUCAUGCCUUAAAGUAAAAGGUGGAGUACCAGGAGAAUGCAGGUAGUUCAGCUUGCAACUCAAACUGUACCUGUGCUAUUUUCUCAAGACAACCAUCGUACUUAGUAUACUUCAGAUGUGCUUCAUGUGUACUUCUCAUUUCUCACACAGAAUAUUAAAAGAUCUCGUACUGGUUAAUUUUAGAUAUCAGUGGUUUGGCCUAAUACUAAGUCUAGUUGCUGUGCCAUAACUUAAUCUAAUUCAAAGUAAUAUAAUCACAUUCCAUAAAGUAAUCUAAUAUAAUGUAAUCCAUCAGGUGAAAGGAGAGUUCCUUAGGGUGUGGUCUGCCUGCAGGCUAUAAAUAGAUAUGUUGGCAGAAUUCACUGUCCCUCUCCACUCUGCACUCUUCCUGUCACCUGACCUAGGGAUCUUGGGAUGCAAGCCUGAAGAAAUCAGCAGUGUGCCAUUUGACCUAUGUGAUUUUGGACUUACUAGCUCCCACCCUGCCAUUAUGUGAGCCAAAACAUUGAAGUCAAUCCCUUUUUAUAUAUGUACUUGUAAUUCAUUGGCUCUGAUAUUUGUGAUUGGUUAAAUAAAAUGCUGCAUGUAAACUCCCUGGGUGGUGCAAACAGUGAAUGCUUUCACGGCAAACUGAAAGAUCAGAGGUUCAGGUACACCCAGAGGUGCCUUGGAAGACAGACCUGACAAUCUACUUCCAAAACAUCAGCCACUGAAAACCCUAUGGAACACAGCUCUACUCUGACACACAUGGGUUGUCAUGAGUUGGAUAUGACUUGACAGAAUAUGGAAAAAAGGAAAAAUCCUUAGAAAAGGAUUUUUUUAACCCUUAACAUGUACAGUGGCUGGUACACUUUAAGUGUUAACUAAAUAUUAGUAAAUAACCUUAUUAUCCUGGGGCUUUGCAUUACCUGGAACUCUUGGAGUCUUUCCCAGCAAGUGAUAGGGAGCAACAGUAGAGUUCAUUGAAAGCAGAAAAUAUAACUUCAUAAUUUCUUCUGAAUCAUUUCCAUACAGUCUUCACCAUUCCCGAGCAUGUUCAAUUAGCCCAAUGAUGUUGCCACCACAAGAUGGCAGUGCCUCUCUCUCCUCAGACUCACAUUGGUUUGAAAUCACCAUGUGUUUGUUUCAAAGGAAAGAUGGAGCUUGCCUCUGAUUGGCUAGGUAAGAAACCUGAGGCUAUUCCUGGGAGGUUGGAAGGAUUAGAGAAGAGGAUGUUUUGAGUGAGAAACUUGGCUGCAUUUCAGACCCAAGAGCUGCAUCUUCUUUGAGCCAAACAAGAAGGAAGAAUGGAGAAACUCUUUGGAAAGUCUGUGGUGAUUUUAUGGCUUCAACUGGCCAGGGUGAACAGCCAAGUAGAACAGAAUCCUGAGGCUCUGCACAUCCAGGAGGAUGAAAAUGUCACCAUGAACUGCAGCUAUAAAACUACUUUGGGCAACUUACAGUGGUAUAGACAAGAUCCAGAAACUGCUAGAGAUCCACCUAAUUUAUACACCUUCCAGGCAGAAAGAAGGAGAAAGUCGAUGGAGAAAUGGGUAUGUUUUAGCUGAGCCUAACAUUUUAAGAAGCUUUUCUUAAUAGCUUUAAUUUAUAUAUAUAUAUUUUACAUUUUAUUUUCUCUAAGAAGUUUUCCUCCCCUAAAAACAGUAGAAACUAGUAAAUAUACACUCAUUCUUGUGCAUCUGUUCAAGAGUCAGUCAAAGAAAUCCAAACCAAACCUGUUGCCAUCGAGUUGAUUCUGACUGAUAAAGUAACUGAACGAAAUUCAUAGAACUCUGCUUUUUCAAACUUGCAGUUUCUCCUUCAUUUCUCUGAUUAGCAGCUGUGUCCUUUACUACUGUGUGUGCUCCUUAAAUUAAAGGAAUACUAUCUGUGUUUCUCAUGCUGAAUCUUCAACGCCAAAGUAUCUUAGUCAUCAUUGUUGUUAGGUGCC